UUCCUUCACAUCCUUGCCCACAUAUUGUUGUGUUCUUUGAUGAGGCUGUUCUGACAGGUGCGAGGUGAUAGCUCAUUGUGGCUUUGAGUUGCUUUUCCCCAAUGAUCAGUGAUGUUGAACAUCUUUUCAUGUGCCUACUGGCCAACUGCAUUUCCUCACUGGAAAAAUGUCUACUCAGUUCUGCCAAAUUUUUAAUUGAGUUGUUUGGUUUCUUUGAUUGGGUUGUAUGAGUUAUUUGUAUAUGUUGGAUAUUAACCCCUUAUCCAUGAUAUCAUUUGCACGUAUUUUCUCUUAUUCGGUAGGUUGUCUUUUCGUUUUGUUGUUCUAUUUCAUUUUUUUAUAUGUAGCUGUUCAGUUUUUCCAGUACCAAUUAUUAAAGAGAUUGUCUUUUUCCAUUGUAUAUUCCUGCCAUCUUCAUCAUAGAUUAAUUUACCAUAAAAUACUGUGUGGGUUUAUUUCUGGGCUCUAUUCCAGUUCAGUGUGUCUGUUUUUGUGCCAGUACUGAACUGUUUGAUUACUCUACCUUUAUAAUAUAGUCUGGAGUCAGGGAACAUGAUUCCUGUAGCUCUGCUCUUUUUUUUUUUUUUUUUUUUUUCAAGAUUAUUUUGGCUAUCCAGGGUCUUUUGUGUUUCCAUACAAAUUUUAAAAUGAUUUGUUCUAGUUCUGUGAAAAAUUCCAUUGAUUUUUUUUUUGCCAUUGGCAGCAACAUGGAUGGUUUUGGAGGGCAUUAUGCCAAGUGAAGUAAGUCAGAGAAAGACAAACACUGUAUGAUAUCAUUUAUAUGUAGAAUCUGAAAAAUACAACAAAGUACUACUAUAACAAAAAAAGAAGCAGACUCACAGGUAUAGAGAACAAGCUAGUGGUUGCCAGAGGUGGGGCAACAUAUAGCCGGGGGAGUAGGGGUGUAAAAUAUUGGGUGUAAGAUAGGCGACAAGGAUGUAUUUUACAACAUGGGCAGUAUAAACAAUAUUUUGUAAUGACUGUAAAUGCAGUACAACCUUAAACAUUUAAUAUAAAAAAUCAAUGAACAGAGUAUGUGGAUUACAGUCCUUCAUCUCAUUCAUCUAUGUACUGCCUUGGUUGAGUGUCUUCUGUGUAGUGGAUCUGAGAGAUCCUCAGGAUACAAGGAUGAAUAAGAGCUCAACUCUCCAGGAAGCUCCACUCACAUGUGACAGACAGACAAAUAGAUAAAUAAGUAGAGCAUGCAAUGAGACUGACUUAGGAAUCUGUAUGAACAGUUCUGGGAUCACAGAGAAAGAAGGUAGUAGUUAUCCAAGGAAGUCAGGGAAGACUGCACAACAGACAAUGUUGGAGCUUCAUUUUGAAGGAAUGGCUUGUAUAUCCUAGGUGGAAAGGGGAGAACAUGCGAAGGAAAUUGCAUGCGAAGACAGGGCAUUGGUUAAACAGAGAGAUCUUUAGUGGUCAGAGGUAUAGACCAUGGCAGAGGGAAAGGCAACAAAGAAGCCUCUUACAUGCCUUGGCAAGGACUGGCAUUUAAUCACUGAGCAACAACAAGCUCAUAUGGUUUAAACAAGGAGUAAACUGCUUAGGCUUAUUUCUCAGUAAAUGGCAAAUCGGGAUGGACUCUGUGUUUUAAAUCUUAAAAAGUGGAGUGAAUUCCUUAGAAUAGCUCUUGAGAUGUUAUUUACUUUUGAGGUAAGCAAUUUCGUUUUGUGGAAGAAAUGUGUAUACUUUGGACAUUCUAAUAGAGCAGGAAAAAAAUACAUGACUUGGUAAAACAGGAUUAUCAGAUAAUACAUUGUACAUGUUAUACCAUAUAUAAAUUUCACAGAUUUUUAAAGAUUAUUUUUGAUACUUUAUGAUAUUUAUUAAUGAUAUGACAAAUUAAUUUUAUUUAAGUGAAGAUGUUUUCUUUGCAGAUAAAAUGCACGUGUCUAAGCAGAGGCAAUGUAUUUGGGUGUAUCAUCACUUUAAUCUGAUAAACCUUUUAUGGUUCUAUUAUUUUAUAAAAAUGUAUGACUUUUCAUUUCCAUGAUGAAAAUAUAAUAAUGUAACUUUUUAUGAAAUGUACUUGUGGGAAAUGUGAAAUUGAAGAGCGUUUGGUUUCAUUUAUUUUUCUGAUGUAGAACAGGCCUCGGUAAGGACUGGCAUUUAAUCACUGAGCAACAACUUCCUUUUUGGCACCCAGUGGGUUAAUGCUUCAUGAUACAAGAGCCCAUUUUUAUGUUAAAGUAAAAUUACUUUGAAAAAUAUGCUUUAAUUGAAAUCCUAUUUAAGGGUAAAAUUAUUUUAUUGAUUAUGAUCAAAAUGCCCCAGACAGUGAUGAAUUCAUCAAUUCCUGUUUCAGUAGUGUUAUAAAUCUUUUAGCAGGAGCUGGAGAACGUGAACAAGAUGAAUAUUUUCAGAUUAUAGUGGCACAUUACUUACUAUGUGUAACUUUCUUAAUCUGUAUACUGUGCAGGAGUGGAAAUGGCCUUUAAGAAGCAAUGUAGUAAAGGAGCUUACAGUGUUAUCUAUGUCACAAAUCAAACUGGAAUGGAGCUUGCUCCAAUGUAAACUUUAAAAAUAUGAAGCUGGAGGUUGACUGAACAGUAUAUUUGAGUUAAGGGAAGAAUGGCAUAAAGUAUAUAAUUAUUUAGCAUAGCCAGAAAGGAAUUUUAUUUAUAAUUACUGAAUAGCAGCCCCUUGAAUCCACAUAACUAAGGAAAAUAUUGUAGCAUUUAACCCCCCUACAGUAUUACAAAGAUGUGAAAGGUUGUAAAUGAUUAAACCAUAAAAAGCUACACUUUUAAAGUCACUGUCACCUAUGGAAAUUAAAGAACUUUCAAGGUUUUUAUAGCUUGGUUUUUUCCAUCUAUAUGUAAGUAAAUAUAUGUUUAUAUCCCUACGUACCUAUUUACCUACCUACCUUCCUAUCUCUGUACUAUUUCUUAAAUUUGCCACCACAGAAAUGCUAAGACCUGGGUUUAUUUUAAAUAUCAUACAAGGUUUUUUUCUCUUUUCUUUUUUAAAAUUUUCUCCUCCCUCUCUUCCUUCCUUCUUCCUUUCCUUCCUUCCUUCUUCCUUUCCUUCCCUUCCCUUCCCUUCCCUUGCUUCCUUCCUCCCUCCCUUCCUUCCUUCCUUCCUUCCUUCCUUCCAUCUUCCUUCCUUCCAACAGCUGCACCUGUGGCGUGUGGAAGUUGAAUCCACCUGAGGCUAGGGGUUGACUCACAGCUGCAGCUGCUGGCCUUUGCACAACCACAGUAACACCAGAUCUGAGCCACAUCUGCAACCUACACCACAGCUUGCAGCAAUGCUGAAUCCUUAACCCACUGAUAGAGACCAGGAGUUAAACCUGCAUCCUCACAAACACUAUGUGAGGUACUUAAACCCACUAUGUGGGGUUCUUAACCUGCUGAGCCCCAGUGCUUACUCCUAAAUGUCAUACAAAAUUUUAAGUAAACUUUCCACUUUAAAUUUUUCCAUAAGAUCUUUGACGUACAGUUUGUCUUGUGUUAUACUUGCAAUCCAAGUGGCUUAUAUGAUAUUGUUGGGUUUUUUUUGUUUUUUUUUUUUUUUUUUUUUUUUUCUGUCUUUUUUUUUUUUAGCUAUUUCUUGGGCCGCUCCUGCGGCAUAUGGAGGUUCCCAGGCUAGGGGUCGAAUUGGAGCUGUAGCCACCGGCCUACACCAGAGCCACAGCAAUGUGGGAUCCAAGCCGCGUCUGCAACCUACAUACACCACAGCUCACAGCAACGCCGGAUCGUUAACCCACUGAGCAAGGGCAGGGACCGAACCCGCAAUCUCCUGGUUCCUAGUCGGAUUCGUCAACCACUGCGCCACGACAGGAACUCCCUCAGCUAGUCUUAUUGUGAGUAAAUAUUUUGUAUUAUCAUCUGGCUCUGCAUAAGCAUGUUAUUAAGUAUAUCUUUGCAUAAAGAGCUAUAACCCUAUGGAAAAAAAUUGAAUAGAUGCAAUGUCUACCCACUAAAAAGUUAUUAAUACCAAUAUGAUAUGUUGGAGGAAGUGUGUAAGAAUGAGUAACUAAGGAACCCGUGUGCACUGUAGUAAUUUUAAAUGCAUCUGGUUAAAUUUCAGCAGGAUGGAGGAACAUUGUACCAUGCAAGGGUAGGCUUUUGUCACAGGAGCUGGCAAUAUGUUGCAUUCCUUUUGUAAAUGACUUCAAAAUCCCAGAAUUGUUCUCAUGAUAUUUCAUAUUAGCAUUUUUUUCUGAAUUCUAAAGUACUGAGGGAUGCAUCAUCCCCUUCCAAUAAAUAUGUGAGCUAGAAACACAAAUAUCCUUUCAGAUUUGGAGUUGCAGAAUCUGAAGACUUCAGAUGAUAGUGUCACCUAAUAACUUGGUGUUUGUGUCAGGCCCAGCACCCUCGUGUCCUUAUUUCAUUCCAGACUGAAAUGGCAGCAGUCAAGAGUCACGACGACAGUGUUCAGGUCUACAAACAACAUCAAGGGCCUCACAUUCAUUUUCGGUGGGGACUUCUCUGCCCUAGAUAUUUUGCAGAUAUCUUCCUAAUCCAUUUUAAUUUAUUGAGUUUAAUUUGUCUAAUUAUAGCAGAGAAUAUGGCAAAAACAAGACUUAGAGAGCAUAUAACAUAAAUAGCCUGAGUACUUUUCAUAUCUUAACUAAGAUGACCCAUUAAAUUAAUUAUUGGAUAUGGUUAUGGCAUCCCCGUCAUGGUGUUCAUUAAGCAGAAUGGUGUUACUAAUUAUAAAUGAUAAUGUACUGAACACAGUCCCUGAGUCAGGAACCACCCGCUGAGGGCGUUUCCAUUCCCCAUGAUCCCCUCACGUUGCCCUAUUGCUGGGUUUCUGCAGCAGCAGGUGCACUGGAGUCCACUGUCAUGGUUGACUUUCCAGAUCCUGGUUAGAAUUGUUUUUUUGUUUCGUUUUGUUUUGUUUUUCAAGUUUUCUCUAUUUGUAUGAGCGAGCAAUAGAGCGUCUGAUUUUCUCAGGCCAGGUAUUGGGCUGUCAGGCAAUCACAAGUAUGACGAGGUCCAUUUGGAAUCAGGCCUCUCUGGGACAUGUAUAUCUAGCACUCAUUUCUAUUAUCUGACUAGCAUAGACUUUAUGUGUAAUCUAGAAAUAAAAAACAGACUGUUAGGAUUUUAGUGAAAAAAAUCGUAUUCUCAACUUUUAACCUCAUACUGUGUUUAUUGCUUAAUAUUGACAUUAAGCAAGACCACUCCUGUUGAUCUCUCUAUCCCAGGAAAACGUGAUUGCGCGAACCCUGGGACAGUCUUCAAGCAUGAGCACAGGCAUAAACCUGAAUAUAGAUCGGCAUCAGUGUCUUCUAAUUUCCUGUUGUUUUACUCUUGGUUGUGUUAUUGUGUCUCCUCCAAAGAAAUAUGAUGUGAUAUGAGCAACUCUGACAAAAAUGUUGCCCCGGCCUGAUGUUAAUGUGAAAUUAUGACUAAGAAUUAAAGUUUUGGAAAGAAAACUCAAAGUUUAUGUUCCUCAUAGCAAGCAUAAUUCAUGUAGACUGCCUAAACAGUGUAUAUUAAGGCAUGCGUUUUAUUGCAUAGCCACUGAUAAGAAAAUACUACAUAUAUGCUUCCCGCUGGCAGUUAGAGUUGCUGUGGGAACCAUAAUUUUGAACAUCUUUAUCUGCAUGUUAAAUUCUCAGCCAUAACAUGGCAGCAACAUAAUACUUUUAUUGGAUGUAUUAUUUGAUGCCUAGAGUUUGGUAGGU
rnacentral:lncRNA from 1 species